rnacentral:rRNA from 1 species
GAUGAACGCUAGCGGCAGGCCUAAUACAUGCAAGUCGAACGGUGUCUUCGGACAUAGUGGCGCACGGGUGCGUAACACGUAUGCAACCUACCUUACAUUGGGGGAUAGCCUUUCGAAAGGGAGAUUAAUACCGCAUAAGACAGUAGCUGGGCAUCCAGCAGCUGUUAAAGAUUUAUCGAUGUAAGCUGGGCAUGCGUCCAACUAGCUAGUUGGUGAGGUAACGGCUCACCAAGGCAAUGAUUGGUAGGGGAACUGAGAGGUCAAUCCACCACACUGGCACUGGGAUACGGGCCAGACUCCUACGGCAGGCAGCAGUAGGGAAUAUUGGGCAAUGGACGCAAGUCUGACCCAGCCAUGCCGCGUGCAGGAUGAAGGCGUUAUGCGUUGUAAACUGCUUUUAUACAGGAAGAAACGACUCUUGCGAGAGGCAUUGACGGUACUGUAUGAAUAAGCACCGGCUAACUCCGUGCCAGCCGCCGCCGUAA